UACGUAGGGUGCAAGCGUUGUCCGGAAUUAUUGGGCGUAAAGAGCUUGUAGGCGGUUUGUCGCGUCUGCUGUGAAAUUUCGGGGCUCAACCCCGAACUUGCAGUGGGUACGGGCAGACUAGAGUGUGGUAGGGGAGACUGGAACUCCUGGUGUAGCGGUGAAAUGCGCAGAUAUCAGGAGGAACACCGAUGGCGAAGGCAGGUCUCUGGGCAUUAACUGACGCUGAGGAGCGAAAGCAUGGGGAGCGAACAGG
rnacentral:rRNA from 1 species